rnacentral:rRNA from 1 species
GGCUCAGGAUGAACGCUGGCGGUAUGCCUAACACAUGCAAGUCGAACGGGGAUCUUCGGAUCCUAGUGGCGGACGGGUGAGUAACACGUGAGAAUCCACCUUCAAGUCGGGGACAACAGUUGGAAACGACUGCUAAUACCGGAUGAGCCGAGAGGUAAAAGAUUUAUCGCUUGAAGAGGAGCUCGCGGCCGAUUAGCUAGUUGGUAGUGUAAGGGACUACCAAGGCAACGAUCGGUAGCUGGUCUGAGAGGAUGAGCAGCCACACUGGGACUGAGACACGGCCCAGACUCCUACGGGAGGCAGCAGUGGGGAAUUUUCCGCAAUGGGCGAAAGCCUGACGGAGCAAUACCGCGUGAGGGAGGAAGGCUCUUGGGUUGUAAACCUCUUUUCUCAGGGAAGAAAAAAUGACGGUACCUGAGGAAUAAGCAUCGGCUAACUCCGUGCCAGCAGCCGCGGUAAUACGGAGGAUGCAAGCGUUAUCCGGAAUCAUUGGGCGUAAAGCGUCCGCAGGUGGCCUAUCAAGUCUGCUGUCAAAGCGCAGAGCUUAACUCUGUAAAGGCAGUGGAAACUGGUAAGCUAGAGUUCGGUAGGGGUAGCAGGAAUUCCCAGUGUAGCGGUGAAAUGCGUAGAGAUUGGGAAGAACAUCGGUGGCGAAGGCGUGCUACUGGGCCGAAACUGACACUCAGGGACGAAAGCCAGGGGAGCGAAAGGGAUUAGAUACCCCUGUAGUCCUGGCUGUAAACGAUGGAUACUAGGCGUGGCUUGUAUCGACCCGAGCCGUGCCGAAGCUAACGCGUUAAGUAUCCCGCCUGGG